GAAGGAGGACUGAAAGGAACUCUGGAGGUAUCAGAAGUGAGAAUGCAGGAAUAAGUAGCGAGAAGGGGAGUGAGAAUCUCCCCCGCUGGAAGACCAAGGUUUUCAGGGUAAAGCUUGUCUUCCCUGAGUAAGCCGGGACCUAAGCCCAGGCUAGAAUGCGUAGGCGAAUGGAAAACAGAUGAAUAUUUCUGUGCCAGUUCUACUUUGUGAAGGAGGGACGCAGAAGGGUAUGCGCGCAGACGAACGGAAGAGUCUGUAGAAGCAUGUAGAGUGACUUGGUAGGCAAAUCCGCCAGGUUAGACUUAAGGUGUGACAUAUACUCGCAAGAGGAAUGCGCAAAUCCCACGCUGCCGAGAAAAGCUUCUAGCGGUAAAGUAGAGACUGCCCGUACUGGAAACCGACACAGGUGGUCAGGAUGAGAAAUCUAAAGCGGACAGGCUAACUCUCGUUAAGGAACUCUGCAAAAUGGCCCCGUAACUUCGGGAGAAGGGGUGCCUUUAGGCGUGAGUAUACAAGCGAUACAAAGCGCUUUGAGGUCGCAGUGAAGAGGCUCAAGCAACUGUUUAACAAAAACACAGGUCUAUGCGAAGCUGUAAGGCGAAGUAUAUGGGCUGACACCUGCCCAGUGCCGGAAGGUUAAGAGGAGGAGUGAGAGCUCCGAAUUGAAGCCCCGGUGAACGGCGGCCGUAACUAUAACGGUCCUAAGGUAGCGAAAUUCCUUGUCGGGUAAGUUCCGACCUGCACGAAUGGUGUAAUGAUUUGAGCGCUGUCUUGACGGGAGGCCUGGUGAAAUUGUAUUACCGGUGAAGAUACCGGUUACCUACAGUAGGACGGAAAGACCCCAUGGAGCUUUACUGUAGCUUGGUAUUGGGUUUUGGCAUGGCAUGUAUAGGAUAGUUGGGAGACUGGGAAGGAAUGGCGCUAGCUGUACCGGAGUCAUCGGUGGAAUACCAAC
rnacentral:rRNA from 1 species